rnacentral:rRNA from 1 species
GACGAACGCUGGCGGCGUGCUUAACACAUGCAAGUCGAACGGAAAGGCCCUGCUUUUGUGGGGUGCUCGAGUGGCGAACGGGUGAGUAACACGUGAGUAACCUGCCCUUGACUGUGGGAUAACUUCAGGAAACUGGGGCUAAUACCGGAUAGGAGCUACUGCUGCAUGGUGGGGGUUGGAAAGUUUCGGCGGUUCGGGAUGGACUCGCGGCUUAUCAGCUUGUUGGUGGGGUAGUGGCUUACCAAGGCGUUGACGGGUAGCCGGCCUGAGAGGGUGACCGGCCACAUUGGGACUGAGAUACGGCCCAGACUACUACGGGGGGCAGCAGUGGGGAAGAUUGCACAAUGGGCGGAAGCCUGAUGCAGCAGCGCCGCGUGCGGGAUGACGACGUUCGGGUUGUAAACCGCUUUCGCCUGUGACGAAGCGUGAGUGACGGUAAUGGGUAAAGAAGCACCGGCUAACUACGUG